AUCGUGGAGUCUAGAAUGGAUCCUUUUAUUUUGCUAUAUAGGAUACCACUAAAGUUGGCCGUAAAAAGGCGGCCUCACCGCAAAGUAGUCGUAUUUCCAAGAUGUCUGUCAAGUCUGUCAAAGAAUGCUGAAGGGAACGAAUUUUUCUCGACGGUCCAGAAUGGGCUAAAGAUUAAAUAAAAUUAUAAGAGUGAAGCGAAUUGUCGUCAAUUGAAUUGGAACUAAAAACUGUUGCGAAAAUUCAGAUUGUUGAGCAAGGCAGUCAUGCCAGAAGGUUUACAUCCAAUAUUGCCCAGGGGGACAGUAAUUAGAACAAUUUCUUUAAGUUUGUGUGGACACAGAGGCUUGAAUGUAGAAAUCAAAGAGUGGACAUGCGUAUAAAAUAUCGCCAACAGACCAUGGACGGAUAAAGAGAAAAAUCUACUAUUGUGAUUGAAAGUUGAAAAUAAACAGCAAAUAAACUUCAAAUAGAAAUUUAAACAUACAAGAAGUAGGACCUUGACCAUGCCUCAACAACAUCAGGAACAAGAAGUCAAACAUGCAAUAUUAAUUCACAUGCUUGUAGCUAAUAGCACAUGAGCAUUAGCAAGUGAAGGAGAGAAACAGUAACUAAUGACCAUAAAAUUCUCCAUUGAUACUUAUCAAAAUUGGAUCCAAUCUGGACAACUUCAAGAGUCUAGCCAGCUCUAUUGAUACUUAAAAAUUGGAUCCAUUCUGGAAAUUGUAAGAGUCUAGCCAGCUCUAUUGAUACUAACCAAAAUUGGAUCCAUUCUGGAGAAUUUCAAGUGUGUAGCCAGCUCUAUUGAUAUUGACCAAAACUCGAUCCAUUCUGGACAUUUGCAAGAGUGUAUCCAGUCCUGUUGAAAUUGACCGAAUUUUGAUCCAUUCUGGACAUUUUCAAGAGUGAAGCCAGAUCUAUUGAUACUUACAAAAAUUGGAUCCAUUCUGGACAUUUUCAAGAGUGUACCCAGCACUAUUGUUACUUGCCAAAAUUGGAUCCAUUCUAACAAUUUCAAUAGUCUAGCCGUAUUGAUACUUAACAAAAUUGGAUCCAAUCUGGACAUUUUCAAGCGUUUAGCCAGCCUUGUUGAUACUGACCGAAUUCGGAUUCAUUCUGUACAUUGUCAAAAUAUUUUUGAUUGAUCAUAUAAUGUCCCUGGGAUGAAAAUAAGCCACACCUUUUUGCUUUUUAUUAAAGGGGCCUUUUCAAGUUUUGGUAAAUUGUCAAAAUUGUUUCAGAUUUUUAUGUCCCCCACCACUAUAGUGGUUUAUAAAAUUAUAAAUCGUUGCAAUGCAAAACGAUUGAAUAAUAUGGAAAGUUCUGUUGUCGUUGUUAUAUUUUGUGAAACUACGAGAAUUGCUUAUAUAAAGUUUAAAAUACCUUCCACAUUGUAUGACCACAAAUGACCGAGUGGUCAAAGCAGUAGACUUUUACUCCAGUACUCCAGUUGUCAGUGGUUCUAUCCCUGUUGAGGGUUCAACCAAGAUUUGAUUUUCAAUUUGUGUCUAGUUGGGACCAUGGCGUUUUCCUUAUAUGCAUGUUAUAAAAAUUAUUAUAAUCCUAGGCCUAAACAACAAAGAUAAGGAGCCUGCAAUUGAGGUUGCAUCUGAAUAUUGUAUGGUAUUUGUUUGAACGACACAGGCCCUCUGGGACCUAUUUAAAAAACAUUAUUGAUCCAUUUUUUAUCUUUAACAACUUUUAUAAUUUUUCUCAGUACAUACUCCGGUUUGACUAUAAACAUACAAACUAGUGAAAAUAAUAAGUACUGCCAUAAUAACCAUGGCAAUGUGUUGUUGUUUUUUGGUUAAAGGCCAAUGUGCAGACUUACUACUAAAUGAUGAAACAAUGAUGUAAUGUUACUGUUUUAAAUUUUAGAAAGUAUGUGUUUUGAUAUUCUUAGCAUUUUUAUUUAUUUUUCAUGUAAAAUAUACACUUUUGAAAAAUGGUGUUUUUUAACUGUUAAGUUAAAUACACAGGUAUUUCAGUUUGGUUAUGUAGAGGGGUUUGUGUAUUGACACAAGGGGUUAUAGUUGCCAACUUUUAUUAAGCCCCCCUUUGAAGAAGAGGGGGUAUAUUGUUUUGCACAUGUCGGUCCGUCGGUUCGUCCACCAGAUGGUUUCUGGAUGAGAACGCUUAGGCCUAGGAUCAUGAAACUUCAUAGGAACAUUGAUCAUGACUGGCAGAUGACCCAUAUAGAUUUUCAGGUCACCAGGUCAAAGGUCAUGGGCACAGUGACUCGAAAUAGUAAAAUGGUUUCCGGAUGAUAACUCAAGAAUGCUUACGCCUAGGAUCAUGAAACUUCAUAUAUACAUUGAUCAUGACUGGCAAAUGACCCUUUCGAUUUUCAGGUCACUAGGUCAAAGGUCAAGGUCACACUGACUCGAAACAGUAAAAUGGUUUCCGGAUGAUAACUCAAGAAUGCUUACGCCUAGUUUUAAUUAUAUAAUUGAUAAUGGUAUGAAAUAUGAUAACAUAAAGUAUUAUAAGUAUUAUCAUAAAUUAUAAAUCAGAUAAUUGAUAAAUACAAUAUCAUUCAAAUAAUAUAAUGAUUACAAUUUUAACAAGUAUACAAGUAAAUACACUUAAAAUAAUAAAAUGACUCACCAGUUACCAUAUGAAGAAAGAAACUAAAGAUAGUAGGUUUAAGCAAAUGAAAAAUGCUUGUACCUCUUGCAUGGUUUAGUAACGAAAUGAAUCAAAUGUUUCAGAUAUAUAAAACCAUAAAUAUGUAUCUGAAAUCAGCUCACCUAAAAAGCAUUCUCCAUUAUUAAUAUAUGGUAGCUCACUCAUUCAUCACAUUGAAUCUCUCUUGAUUGGAUAAGUAGUUAUAAUUAUUUAUAAAAUUGGUGUUUUGUUUUGUUUUCAUUGUGUUGCCUUUUUGCUUUUUGCUUUCUCUGAGAAAUUUGCAUCUUGAUUUUUUCAUUUGCUUUAUUAGGUUUGCAUUCUGAUGCUUUUUUUGCUUUUGCUUUCUUUGAGCUUAACAGUAUGUAUAUAUAAUACUAGUGACACUACAACAGUUUGCUGUUGUUGUCUUAUUUCGUUCAUUUCAUUUGAUAUCUUGUUGAAGAACUUGUAGUACUGUAUGUAUGUAGCAUUAAUCAAUGCUUCUUUGCUCAUCAUUUGCCUUUGAAGCUCUGAAAUAGUGCUAGUUACACAUGCGGGAUAAUCAUUUCAGCAUUAGUAUUGUAUUAUUUUGCUUUUAUAAUUAUAUUUUAUUUUUUAUUCAUCAGUGUUGUAUUGUGUUGCUUAUAUUGUGUGAAAUUUGCUGAUCAUUUUCCUUCAAAUCUGGUUUGAGGUGAUAAUUUCCUUUAAGCCCUUUUUAUUUUGUGGCACUAUUGUGUUCUAUUUUCUCUGUAAGCAUUUUUACACCAUUUCUUUUUAUGGUACCUUAGGCCCCUUCCUUGUGUCAACAUCAACAAUCUUUUAAACAGCUCUUAAUUUUGAAUGUAUAGUACUGAUAUUAUAUUUCUGCUUACAUUUGAAUAAUGUCCUAUAGGAAUACUGCUUUAAUUGUGUUUUUAUUGUGCUUUAUUAGAAUAACUAUUUCUUAUGUAUGCCAUGUAUUAUUGAUGUGUUGCAAUUUGUUACUGCUUGUUAGUUUGGUAAACAGCUAUACAUAGCAUAUGUUAUAUACAUGUUAUUUCAUACUGACAAUAAAUUCGUUUUGAUGUGAUUUAA